GUGGGAGGAUGGAGACAGCAGCCACCAAAGGCUGGGCAAGGCACAGGUCCAGGCUCUAGAUGAAGUCUUCCUUUCCCAAGGGAGGGGAAAGCCAGCAGGAUGUGAACCAGAGGUGGUGCUUUAGGAAAGCCCCUCCAGCCUGGGGAGGUGCUUUUGUCUCCAGACACAUUCCCAGUUCUCAGGAGCAGCAGAACCUGUGCUGUUUCCACCAGAAUCCUCUGAGGCUGAAACAAAGACAAGGAACCCUUUGAGAUGGAAAGAGCCAGAGCAAGUUGUUGUGGGGAAGGAAAAUUAAAAAUGGAUGUGGGCCAUGACAAGGGAAUUGGAUCCAACAGGGCCCAAGAUCAGUGUGGGGUCUGUGGCAGGGACAGCUUCCAGAGCCGGACAGGGAAGGGGACCUUCACCCACACUCCCAAAAAACUGAGAAGGAAAAACACCUGCCUGCAUCUGGCUGCAGCCCUGGAGCUCUGGGGUCUCUGGCACACUCAGGGAUGUGGGAUAAUGCCAGAAUCAUUCAAACCUCGGGAAUAAUGGAAUUAAUAGCAUCCCUUGAGUCUGUUCCAGGCAGGCUCCUGCCCAUCAGCCAUGGGUUACAGAUGGCUGUGGAAGUGAUGGAGGCAUUUAGGGAAUGCUGAUUGUUUUUCCCUCGCUUUGGCAGUCUGGUCAAUAAAAAUACUAAUUGAGCUCUUCCA
rnacentral:lncRNA from 1 species